AUUGAACGCUGGCGGCAUGCCUUACACAUGCAAGUCGAACGGCAGCACGGGUGCUUGCACCUGGUGGCGAGUGGCGAACGGGUGAGUAAUAUAUCGGAACGUACCUUAUUGUGGGGGAUAACGCAGCGAAAGCUGUGCUAAUACCGCAUAAUCCCUAAGGGGGAAAGCGGGGGACCGUAAGGCCUCGCGCAAUUAGAGCGGCCGAUACCUGAUUAGCUAGUUGGUGAGGUAAAGGCUCACCAAGGCAACGAUCAGUAGCUGGUCUGAGAGGACGAACAGCCACACUGGGACUGAGACACGGCCCAGACUCCUACGGGAGGCAACAGUGGGGAAUUUUGGACAAUGGGGGCAACCCUGAUCCAGCAAUGCCGCGUGAGUGAAGAAGGCCUUCGGGUUGUAAAGCUCUUUUGUCAGGGAAGAAACAGCAGCUCUAACACAGUUUGCGAAUGACGGUACCUGAAGAAUAAGCACCGGCUAACUACGUGCCAGCAGCCGCCGUAA
rnacentral:rRNA from 1 species